GGCAGAACCCUCGACCUUCAGGCCCGAAGUCCAGCGAGCUAUCGACUGUGCCCCAAAAGCUGUGCCCCUCCGCGUUUAUAAACCCAGGGUCGUUACAAUAUUAUAGUGUCAAAAUGUAUUACAAAGUGCAAAUAGGAUAAUUAUGGUCAUAAAGUCAGCCUCGUCCAAAACAUAGUUUUGUAAUUGAAUUCGUCACGAUUUACUGGAUGGUUGGGUAUGGAUUAUGAUCAUGCCCACUUUUGCCAAUUAUGCCAAAUUGCAGGGAAAACACGUUGUAGUCCGCAUCCAGCUGACAUGUGUUGUCAAGGCUGCAUAUGGGUGGAACGCACAUUUCGCUCUGCAAUUAUGAGUGAAAAUGGGCUUCCAUGAAGUUGGUGCAAACUUCCAAUACAUUUCAACAAUAUUGCCAGGAGUGGAUUACAUUCGACACGGUCACUUCUGCUGCCUGUCAACCGUCAAACCACUGCACUGGUGUUGGCUACGUACAAGAUCUGGUUGAUUUGUAGUUCAGCAAUGUUGUUGGAACCCCCCUGCCAUAUCAGGAGCUGUUACAGAAGGCUGAGGCAGUGGCCAUACACCAGUCCUGCUUGAGAGUAAUGGAGGACACUUGAAUCAGGUUGGUCACAUUUGAUCUGGUCAAUGGUCAAAAUACUAUCUGUCCUGGAAUUCACCUAACCACCAUUGAUAAUGUAAUCAGUGCUCUGUGUAUAUGUGUGUCUUGUACUGUACGUUGUAAGAAAGCUGCCCCCUUCCAAUGGACUAUUGGGCCCAGAGAGCUGGGUCGGAUAUAGGAGCCGUAGUCGGGCUUCUGCAUGACCAGUAUCUGUGAUGAGAGGGACCUGGAGCUGAUCUACGCUGCCAUGCCAAUCAGGCGUUGGCAAACGCCUCAAAAGGGACAAACAGUGAUUACUAAUAAGACAGUACAUCAUUAUCACCCUUUCAAUGUGUCACUCAUCAACUCUUCCUUGGUUUUCUACAGAUGGGAAGAAGAGUUGCUUUUCAGAUGGAGUCCUCUGACUGAAAGACAGGUUAAUACUGAUGUCAGAAUUGGGAGAGACCUUGCAACUCAGCAUAAAAAUUUUACAAGACAUCUA
ensembl:lncRNA